GGCUUUCAAUGAUCUUCAACUUGUGGGGGAGAUUUGGGGCUUGGGGUUGCAUGACCUAACCCAAAAUAAUUGGGGUUUGGGAUGGGAGGCUGGAUCAGUGUUGGGUCUUGGGGAUUGAUGGGGUUGUGCCCCCCUAAAAAGAAAUCUAGUGGGGUCUUACUGGGCUGAGGCUUCUUCAGUGCACACAAAGAUGGAAGCCACCACCAGGUAGCAGACAGUGCGGGAGUACAGAGUGGGGACUGUAACACUCCAGAGCCUCCUCAGUCCCCUCACUCUGUCCUCCUUUCACUCCUGCCAUCACACCUUGCUGACAGGUGGUGUGGAGUCCUGUGGGGAAAAAUGGAGGGGUUGUGGGGGUACAGGGAUUGAGAGGCACUGGGAUGGGUUCUGUGGUUCUGUUACUCUAUAAGAAGCUGGAGAUGUGGGCAGACAAAAACCUCAUGAAGUUCACCAAGGAGAAAUGCAUAUGAACCCAAGGAGGAACAAUCCCAGCACAUGAUGACAUGCAAGGGCACCCAACUGGAAGCAGAUGGCAGAAAAGAAUCAAGGAAGUCCUGGUGGACACCAAGUUAGCCAUGAGUUAGCAACAUGCCCUUGCUGUUAAGAAGGCCAAUGAUCUUAUUGGCUUCAUGAGGCAAAGUAUCACCAGCAGGUCAAGAGAGUUGAGCUUUUUGCUCUCCACAGCGCUGCUGAGGCUGUACCCGGUGUUGUGGGUCCACUUCCUGGCCCCCCACUACAAGAGAGACCUGGCCUCCAAGAUGAUGAAAGAACUGGAGCAGUUCUCCUGUGAGGAGAAGCUAGGGGAGCUGGGACUGCUCAGGGGGUAUCUUACCAGUGUGUGUAAACACCUAAGUGGAUAAUGGGAAGGGGAUGGAGCCAGGAUAUUUUUAGUGCAACAGGCCACAAGAAGAGGCAAUGGGCACAAACCUGAACAAGACAAAACAUCAGGAAGUAUUUCUUUACUGUGCAGGAGAGGGAGCAGUAGAACAGGUUGCCCAGAGAGGCUGUGGAGCACAGUGUUGUAUUCAUUAAUCUUAGCCAUUAAGGUGGGUUUACAUGGCAUUGGUGUCCAAGAGGUCCUUGUUUAUCCUCCUAGUGGAUGAAAGAUGAAAGGCAGGGGAGAGUCUCAGCUGAAGUCAAUGCAAUGGAAAAGAGACAACCUGUCCGUAUGCAAAAGGAGAGAGCAAAAUGAGGAAACUGGGGAGCGCUGUCGGUCUCCUGCUGAAUGUGUGAGAUGAUGGAAAAUGUUUACAUACGUGCCUGUCUCCCAGUUACUGAAAUGGGCCGUCAACUUCUGUUGCACAGCAGUGGUACACAGUUCCUUCGUUGUCUCUUCAUAGUCCUGUGGGAUCUGCAUCAGGGAAUGGGAGCGACUUAAGGCAGGAGAGCCAGAGAGAGUGGAAGAGAGCAUCCUGAGGAGAAAUCCAAACUACAGAAUCACUCAUCCCCACUACGAUGCUCCUGUACGGCCUCAUACUGCACUGGCUGAAUAGGUGGGAGGAUUAAAAUUAGCAGAGGAGGUCGCUGUUGUGCCAGCUGUGCACCACGUCCGCCUGGGUGACCUCUGUGCACAACUUGGAAACGGUCUGUGCACAAGGUCACAACACAUCUGCAGUCCUUUGGGUCAGGGUUCUGCAGGGAAGGAAAGAGGGAUCUGCCCAGGAAGGAAGUUUGGAGGGAAUCAGAUGGGAAGGUGGGAGAAAAACAGACACUGAAGUACUCCAAGAAAUCCAGCAGGUACCCAAAUGUGAGAAUUAAAUAGGAGUUACGUGCUGUGCAAAGGAUAUUGGAGAUUUGGAAGGUACUUAUUGCAGGUUCUAAUAUAGCAGCUCAACCACUCUAUAACCUGGUAAAAAGGAAUGCAGUCCAGGAGUGGACCCCACAACACAGACCCAGGACUGCAUCCACAAGUUCUGGCACCUCACAAUUAGUGAAUGUUGGCCUGCUCAAGCCAUGGUGGUGCUCAAGAUGUUAUGCAUCUUCACCAGCUCUGAAAGGACACUGAACAAGCUCUCCCAGGCUCCAUGUAAUUUCCUUGAACGUAUGUUAUUUUUUAAAUCUUAUAUCACCAUCUCUUGGCCAGUCCACGUGUAGCCACAUUUUGAGGAAGAGACUCUUGGACAUCCAUGCUAAUUUUGCAAACCAAUAUUGCAUGCCAAUUUUGCUAUUACAGCGUAUUCAAUUCAAACCGAUACAGACGAGGGGACGCAUCCACUUGUGUGUUAAGAGCUGGACAGAGUGGAUAGAGUGGAAUAGAAUGGGAAGAGCUGCCUCUGAGAAACAGCCAUGAUCAGGUUGAGAGCUGGUGGGUGAAAAUCAGGGACCAGACCAAUAAGGGACAUCUGGUGGUGGGGGUCUACUACAGCUGCCUGAUCAGGGGAGGCUGUGGAUGAGGGCUUAUUGCUUCAGCUGCAGGAAAUGUCGUGCCUGCAGGCCCUCAUCCUGAUGGGGUUUUCAAGCACUUCAGCGGCUGGGAAAGCAGUGCGGUAGUCUUUAAGCAAUCCCAAAGACUCCUGGAGUGUGUUGAGGAUAAGGAGAGAGGAGCACUGUUUCUGGACUUGGUACUCACCAGCAGAGAGGAGCUCAUUAAGGAGGUUAAGACUGGAGGCCCCUCUGGGCUGUAGUGACUCCAUCUGCUCCGAUGGAGUUUGUGAUCUUGAGGAAGGUGGUCCUGGGAAAAAGGGAAGUCGGGAUCCUAGAGAGCAAGCUUCAGCCUAUUUGAUGGAUUACUGAGUGAAAUCCCCUGGGAAGCUGUCCUUAAAACGAAGGAGCGGGGGAAAGCUGGCAGCUCUUUAAGGAUGCCUGUCUGAGAGCAGAAGAGCUCUCUGUUCCCCAGUAUAGGAAAACUGACAGAGGAGGCAGGAAAUCUGCAUGGCUGGGCAAAGACCUGCUGGUCAAACGGGGGGAUAAGGACAGGUACGGGUAGUGGAAAUUGGUGAGGGAUGUGAAAAGAAAGAAUUCUACGGGGCAUUGAUCAGAAGGGACAGGCCCUGGCACAGGCUGCCCAGAGAAGCUGUGGAUGCCCCAUCCCUUCAGACCUCCAAGGUUGACUGGGGGUUUGGGAAGCCUGCUCUAGUGCAUUUCAACCCUGCCAAUGGCAGCGGGUUGGAACUGGGUCGCAUUUGAGGUCCCUUCCAACCCAAGCUGUUCUGUGAUUCCAUAACUGUGAUAUUUGUGAGGAAAUGAGAAAGAGAACUUCCCAGCUUUAAGAAGGGAAGAAAUGAAAUUUCAGCACAGCUUGGCAACCUUUGUACUCAUUUGCUGUAUCGCUUUUCUCACCAGAUUGCAACACAGCAAUACCCAGUCUCCCACAGUCGGCAGCAGAGUUUGUUAUCCACAGUCCUGAUUUUUGUUUAACAAGGAUGAAAAUUGCAAAAGUCAGCGUGUUUCCCCUGCAACUGCACUCCACACCGGGCACAACUGCUUUGUUUCCAUCUCCAAGCCUGGAAGAGACAGAGAUGCUGAGCACCAAAGCUCCUUUUCUUAGAACCUGUUGGGACAUUGUGCUUCUUGGAGGAGCCUGUGUGACACCAAGGGAAACAGAAGGGACGCUGUCUUUAUCCAACUCCCCCUGCAGUGAUUAAGAAGGGGCAUUACGCUGUUCUGUCUGCACCACUCACAUCCUUUGAGGAGGAGAAACGCUACGAACAAAUUAGGAUUAAUAAAAAAUAAUCAAGAAAAAUGGCACUAAAUCACUAAGCCAUUCAAGAAAUUCUGAGGGCACAAAGAGCAGCUCUGCAACUCCGCACCAUCCCAUAACGGCAGCCUGGGUUGCGGUAAGCGUGCAGCGAAAGACUUUCUUUUCAGCAUUUUCGUGCAAUGAAAAUAUUAAGUAUUAAUUUUACCAUUAAUAGCUGAGGUCUGAGAACUUUCUCCUACUGGGAAAGCGAGCUCGGAAUCCAACGUGUCUGCUCGUUUCCCUGGCAAUGGGCAGGGAAAUCAGCUACUUCUUCCAAACACGAAGGUCUGGAAGCUGAGCAAAGCUUGUAAAUAACUUUCAUUCCUCAAGGCACAUUUUUUCCAAAAAGCAGCUUUCCAAAAGGGAGGAUUGUAUCUCUGCACGCCUCACCUCACGGGGAGACAAAGAAAAGCGGAUGCUUUGGCUUUGCCCAGAGGUCUGGUCUUUGACUGGGGACGUUCAGGGAGCAGAACUCUUUGUGGGUGAUUUGGGAACACUUAAAAGUCUAUGUUGCACUGUGUGUGUCUCGGUAAUGCUGUGGACCUUCAGCUGCAGCUCUCCACCUGUUCUAUCCCAAUUUUAUCCCUGUCUUCCUUCUGCUGUUACAGCCCACCCUAAAACAGGAACCCUAGAGCUGACUUUGGGGGUCCGUGAGGCUUCCCCUAUCCUGGCCCCAUAAGGUGCAGUGCUGCUUUCACCAUUUACAACCAUUCCAACUUGCAGCUGAUGCCAGGUGUUGUUGCACAACUGCACUCCCCCGAGGGUCCUCAGGACCCUCCUUUGGAUCACAUGGGGCACAUCCAUCCCUUGUGGAGCUCUCCUUUAAUCCUGCAGCUCCACAGCCCCUCUUGCUCCGCUGAGCAUCCAUCCUCCUUGCACAUAAGGGAGCAAAUCCCAAUGAAAGGAAUAUCUAAUACUAGACCAGGCUGGCCAGGGCCCCAUUCAACCCAGAUCAUAGAUCUCUUUUGGUAGGUCUGUGCUUGUGCUGCAGACUCCUCCAUGCAAUACUUGUUGCAAACAUUACCUUGCCCACUGAACGUCACUUCCCACGCAGCAUAAUAAGCCGUGAUGCUCGGGGGGGGGGAUAUUCUGCAUCUGCAAAGCCAAGCUACGUGAGAUGAACUCAGAAACAGAUUGCAGGAAUCCACCCCAUCCCUUUGGCUGCAGAUGGUUUGUGGGCACCUCACCAGGAUUUGGGCACUGAAAGUCGCAGAGGUGAAAUCUCAGCCUGUGAAGCCUCGAAUUAAUAAGCUUUUCUGCAGGAUAUGAGAUUUUCCUGCAGCCUGGCGUCACUGCCUGCAGGCCCAGAGCCCUCAGGCUGUGAUUUAGGAGAGGCAGGUGUAAAUGAAAAGCAUCCGCACGCAUUUCGGCUACCGAUCUCAGGCGCCUGGCGUGCAGCCCGGCUGCUGGGCUCUGCCUCCGCGUCCCUGAGCCUCCUCUGUCCCCUUCCUCCAUAGAACUGAGGAAUGGCUUUUGUUAGAAAGGACAUUAAAUAUCACAGAACGGCUCGAGUUGGAAGGGAUCUUAAAGGCGAUGGAAUUAUACAAAGGUUUAUAUUGGUGGGAACAUUGAAGAUCAUAGAACCAUAAAAUGGCUUGGGUUGGAGGGGACCUUAACAGCCCAUUCAAUUCCAACCCCCCUUCCAUGGGCAGGGUUGCCACCCACCAGAUGAGGCUGUCCAGGGCGCCGUCCAACGCGGCCUUGAACACCUCCAGGAAUGGGACACCCACAGCUUCUCUGGGCAACCUGUGCCAGUGCCUCA